UCAUUCGAAAAGCACUCACACACGCUGAAUAGUUUGAAGCGGGUUUCUCAACUACUGUAGCGACACAGGAACUGGAGAACAGAACAAUUUAGAACACAAACAAAACUUUACUUACAAUAAACUGGAUUAAAUCUACAAAUCCAUCCAAUUGCCAAAGUUGAAGAAGUUGGUCUUUGUGAAGUUCGUCACCUGCACACGCAGCUUGUGAGCAGCUACUGCAGACUUUAUACUGUGCUUAGCUGAUCAGCUUGUGAAAGCACAUCACGUUACACAUGCUGGAUUUGUGUGUCCCUGGACCAAUGAGUAAUACAAGUCUCGGGGGUUUUGAGAAGAGAUUGCCUCAUAGCGAGUAUGUUCUGCCACCUCCUUCCACAGCCACGCCUAUGAAAACACAGAAGAGAACAUGUUCCUUCACUCAGUGGCUCCAAAAGAGGACAAACAGACCCUUCCUGUGGCCGUGGGCCAUGGCUUGGGCACCGUUCAGGCAUCAUGAGGCACAGCGUGUGGUGGGUAAAUGGUCAGACACUUGACCUUCCGUGACCUUGUUUAUAUUUCAGUCCAUGGGGGCAAGCGGGGGGAUGGUUUACACAAACUGCCACAAUGUUACUAGCAUUCCACUGGGAAGGAAGAUGACUUCCACAUGGAAUGCUUAAGAGAUAUGCUCAUGCAUAUUAGUAAUAGGGCUGGGUGUUAAUAUGGCAGCUAAAAUAAUUGUACCUAAAUAUGAUGACAUUUGAUCAUACUGUGUGUAUAUACACACUACUGUACACUAAG